rnacentral:rRNA from 1 species
GAUUACUCGGCGAACUUAAGCAUAUCACUAAGCGGAGGAAAAGAAACUAACCAGGAUUCCCCUAGUAACGGCGAGUGAAGAGGGAAUAGCCCAGCACCGAAGCCUGCGGUAGGUUUACUGCUAGGCAAUGUGGUGUUUGGGUCGACUCGCGGGAUUGCCACUCCACUCGAAGUCCAGCACUGAGUAUGGUUCCCUGGAUUUGGCCCAGAGAGGGUGAAAGGCCCGUGCGAGUGGAGGUUCAGACAUGUGAGGCAAUUCACCAGGUCGACCUUCGAGUCGGGGUGUUUGGGAAUGCAGC